rnacentral:snoRNA from 1 species
UUACUACUGUCCACCAGACUUGCAGAAAAAGCAGACCCCGGAGGAAGCUGAGGCAUGACUACUCAAGAGCCAAGAGCCAGCCUUCCAUAUGCAAUUUUCCUCUGAUAGUUCCUGGGUACUGUUGCCACGGUGAUAGUGACUGUCCAUGUCAUUAUCUAUCUACCUUCCUGGGUACUGUUACCACGGCGAUAGUGACUGUACAUGUCAUUAUCUAUCCACCAACAGUAAGAGAAACUUUGCAGUCGAGAUAUUGUUUAACAGAUGGAGUGGUUUCUGUUGGACACUAAGUACUGCUACAAAU